GCCAGUGUGGUGUAGUGGUUAGAGUGUUCGACUAUGACUCUGGAGACCAGAGUUUGAAUCCCAGCUCAGCUG